AUUGGAUGACUUAGUGGCGGACGGGUGAGUAACGCGUGAGGACCUGUCCAUUGCAGGGGGACAACAGUUGGAAACGGCUGCUAAUACCGCAUACGCGUGCUUCGGUGCGUGAAAGGAGCAAUCCGGCAGUGGAGGGACUCGCGUCCUAUCAGCUAGUAGGUUGGGUAAAGGCCGACCUAGGCGAUGACGGGUAGCCGGCCUGAGAGGGCGCACGGCCACACUGGGACUGAGAUACGGCCCAG
rnacentral:rRNA from 1 species